GCUCCUGGAACCGAGCGUGGGUGAGAGGUUCUCUGAACCUUGAGCUCAGCGGAGACUUAAGAGGCUGUGCCAGAAGCUGGGAGGGGCAAAGACAUCUUCAGCUCUCCACGUUAGCUCCGGGUUUAAAGAAUCUAUUUCUACUCAGCGUGCACACACCUUACUCCUUUCCCUCAAGAUGGCAAAGAAGACCCCAGAGCUGCUCCAUCCUCCCAUUCUUCAGCAGAGCAUGGAUGCCUCAGAGGAAAGGAUCUGGGCCACUUGCUUUAUCCAGGCUUGACUGACAGCAGGGUCUGAAGCCUGCAGAACAUAGCGCUGGAUCCCACCUUCUGGCCCUCUAGAGGUCAGCGCAAACCGGCAAGGGUUGCCUUGGAGAUUCCCCUCCAGCCCGAGGCAGCUCACCUGGAUUGGCAAUCAGAGACAGCUCUCAGAUUCUGCAAGCCCUUCCACCAGCCCCAAGAGCCUCGCACCAUCAGCCAGGCUGCGUGCCACCUCGGCCUCCUCCUCCCAGGGCCUCACUGAAGAUGACGAUUUGCUCGAACAGGAAGACACGCCUCUCCCGACCCCGGGAAGAAAGCAGACCCCCAGCUUCAGGCUCUGUAACCAAGAAUGUGUCCUGGCCCAAGAGCUUCCCCUGAGCAGUCAGUUUUCCCUGGAACCGAAGGACAUGGCCUCUGAGAAGGCGCAACAAGAGUUUGAAAAGAGAACCAUCAGUUUCUUUCCCGUCCCCCACGCCAACAAGCCCAAGGAGCCCCCCUCUCCAGCGCAUGCACAUACCCAACCCAGGGGGCAGUGAGGACAGCUCAGCCGGGCUAUCUUUGGCCAGCAAUUGGGAAGAGCUGCAAUGUGAGUGCUUAUAAAACCCUUUACAGGUAGGUAGAUACCCUUCGCCCCAUCCCCAGCCCACCAUUCCUCUGCUCCCUUUUCGGAAGACUUUUAGCCGUGUGAUCUGAGACACAAGGUUCUGGGCCUCAGGCGAUCACAAGAGAAAUUUCCCUCCUGGCUAGCUGACUAUAGGAAAGAAAUGGGUCCUCUGACCCUUCCUCAACUUCCUCAACUUGAUUCAGCAGGAAUCUAGAAGUGGAAAAGGACCUUGACAUUCUCUGUUAAAUCAUUUUUUUUCUGGAAAUCACCUGUACAAGCUCCAGCCCUAAAGCCCUAGGGCUAGAGUAAGCAGAUGCCCUAACCCCAGCUCAAGCUCAAUGCUGGCCCCCUCAGAUCUCGCACUCACCACGUCC